rnacentral:rRNA from 1 species
UGGAUUUGUGGUUGGGUUCGUCGGUCCGGCACAUUGUGCGGGUACUUGAUGGACUCGUCCAUCCUUGGGUGGAAUCUGUGUGGCAUUAAGUUGUCGUGCAGGGGAUGCCCAUCGUUUACUGUGAAAAAAUUAGAGUGUUCAAAGCAGGCUUAUGCCGUUGAAUAUAUUAGCAUGGAAUAAUGAGAUAGGACCUUGGUACUAUUUUGUUGGUUUGCGCACCGAGGUAAUGAUUAAUAGGGACAGUUGGGGGUAUUCGUAUUCCAUUGUCAGAGGUGAAAUUCUUGGAUUUUUGGAAGACGAACUACUGCGAAAGCAUUUACCAAGGAUGUUUUCAUUAAUCAAGAACGAAAGUUAGGGGAUCGAAGAUGAUUAGAUACCAUCGUAGUCUUAACCAUAAACUAUGCCGACAAGGGAUUGGCGGUCGUUGUAUUGACUCCGUCAGCACCUUAUGAGAAAUCACAAGUCUUUGGGUUCCGGGGGG